rnacentral:SRP_RNA from 1 species
CCGUGCUAGAUGGGGAGGUAGCGGUGCCCUGUACCCGCAAUCCGCUAUAGCGGGGUUGAACUCCCGGCGAAGGCCUCUUCCCUGUGGGGUCUGGCUGGAGCCAGUGGUGAGGAGGAUCGGGUCCGACGCAACGUGAACCUGUGAACCCCGUCAGGUCCGGAAGGAAGCAGCGGUAAGCAGGCCCUCGCGUGUGCCGCCGGUAAGCCUGGUCGGAGCCGGCUACUCUGGUAACGCUCGGAGGGGAGGGUCGAGGUCGGGUGCACGG